rnacentral:rRNA from 1 species
GACGAACGCUGGCGGCGUGCCUAAUACAAGCAAGUCGAACGCAGUGGGGACGGGUGAGUAACACGUGGGUAACCUCCCAUCAGAGGGGAUAACACUUGGAAACAAGUGCUAAACCGCUACGGCUGGAUGGACCCGCGGUGCAUUAGCUAGUUGGUGAGGUAACGGCUCACCAAGGCCCCGAUGCAUAGCCGGUCGGAGAGUGUGAUAGACUAGACUGGGAGUGAGAGACGGACCAGGUUCCUACGGGAGGCAGCAGUAGGGAAUCUUCGGCAAUGGACGAAAGUCUGACUGAGCGACGACGAGAGGGGGAAGAAGGUUUCCGGAUCGUAAAACGCUGUUGUGGGAAAAGCGGUAUCGAAAGAGGAAACCACGGGUAACUACUUGCCAGCAGCCGCGGUAAUAC